rnacentral:rRNA from 1 species
CAGUAGCCGCGGUAAUACGAAGGGGGCUAGCGUCGUUCGGAAUUACUGGGCGUAAAGCGCACGUAGGCGGAUAUUUAAGUCAGGGGUGAAAUCCCGGAGCUCAACUCUGGAACUGCCUUUGAUACUGGGUAUCUUGAGUAUGGAAGAGGUGAGUGGAACUCCGAGUGUAGAGGUGAAAUUCGUAGAUAUUCGGAAAAACACCAGUGGCGAAGGCGGCUCACUGGACUGGUAUUGACGCUGAGGUGCGAAAGCGUGGGGAGCAAACAGGAUUAGAUACCCGAGUAGUCCCUGUCUCUUAUAU